UCAAUUUUUGCAGUUUUGCAGGGUGUAUUUCUUCUUCUUUCCUGCUGUAUAGUCUGUAUCUGCUAUGUGUCAUCCGAGGCACAAUCAUUCAUUUAAAAAAAAAAAGAGGAAGACGAGCAAAAGCCACAGAAACUUUUUAAAAUGCAAAAUGCAAAGCAUCCAAGCAAUUGUUUGCGGCACCAUAAUACCAGCUGUUUCAAUUCACGAACUGCCAAGAGUGAAUCGCUCAAUUUAUCGUUCUAUGGGUAUACAAGCUGAUGAAAUUUUUGAAAAAUGCACCAUGUAUGACAACGGAAUUAAAAUGGAUUGUGCCCUCAAUUUUCAUUGGAUUCCUGUUUUUGAUUUGAGAGGCCUUCCCAGUAACUGCUAUGCUUUAAACUCUUUGUGGGGCAAUGCCACAGUGACAAGAAAAAUUAUUGGCCGCAAAACAGUUUUUAUCUUAAUGUUGAAAGGAUUCGAAGAACAUCUGUUCUAUGAAAGAAUUCCACGUGCAUAUCAAGUUAUGGUUCAUAGUUCUUAUGCUUUAGUCAAUCCGUUUGUUGGUGGCUUUAGUGCUUCUAGAUGCUAUGAUUACUUUGUUUAUAUAUCAAUGGUGCACAAGAUAUUGCAACCAUUUCCUUAUUCAACAAACUGUACUGAUUACAUAACAUUAUGGUAUGAAAGGGAUGGCAAAAGUCCUUUAAAUCAAAAUAUGUGCACUGAAGAAUGCAUUCUAAAUAUAUCGCUGGCAACUGAUAACUGUGUCAAUUCUUAUAAUUCUGUUUACCCCACAGAUGCCAUGGCUUGUAGGGGAACUCUUGAUUAUGAUGAAGUUUAUGAAAAAUGCCACAAUGAAAAUUGCAAUCCAGCUUGUAAUGAUGAAAACUUCAUAAUGAAUGUUCAAGAAGUGAAACAUGCAUCAGAAGACACCUCUGAUGUAAAAUCAUGCUCAACUAAAAUUGUGAUCUCUUUCGAGCGUAUGGAAGAAAUUAGAUUUGAGUACAUUCCAAAAUAUGAGAACUGACAUCUGUGAAAAUUUUCAAAAUGUGACAAUUGGAAGCGCUGUCUUAUCGGAAAGAACUAAUAGAACGCAUUUCGCGGAAGCGGCCAAUGCCUGCUUAUGUGAAAUCAAAUUCCGGGAAAGAUGGACCAACUUGGUCAUUCGUUUAGAGAUGAUGCUCAUUCUGGGUACCCUGCUGGCCUCUUAUAUGCAGUUUGCUCUUCCAAAAUUCUCUGACAUACUCAGUUCAUCACAGUAUGUCUCACAUUGUCUCUUCGAAGGGUGCUUGACUUUGUUAUUCAUCGCAUAUCAGUUACUCCCAACUUGUGACUUUAGUCCCCUUGGUGAUCAAUUGGAAAUGGCCUUCAUCAUGACGGUAAAUAUUCUGAGUUUCUGCUCUGGGAGCUUCCUAGUACACAAUAUUAUUAAGGUUUUAGAAGGAAAAGGCCAGCGAGAGCUUCAUUUUGUAUUUUAAUUUUUAAUCCUGCAUUUUUGAUGAUUUCAGUUACUAUUUUAUUUUGUAACAUAAUAGUGUUCUGAAAGAUAAAAAUAAUGGCAGAAAAAGGAGAUAAACUUUUUGAAUGAUAGAAAGAAUAGUGUAAAUGCUA